CCUACGGGAGGCAGCAGUGAGGAAUAUUGGUCAAUGGACGCAAGUCUGAACCAGCCAUGCCGCGUGCAGGAAGACGGCUCUAUGAGUUGUAAACUGCUUUUGUACGAGGGUAAACGCAGAUACGCGUAUCUGUCUGAAAGUAUCGUACGAAUAAGGAUCGGCUAACUCCGUGCCAGCAGCCGCGGUAAUACGGAGGAUUCGAGCGUUAUCCGGAUUUAUUGGGUUUAAAGGGGGCGUAGACGGUCGGAUAAGUUAGAGGUGAAAUCCCGAGGCUCAACUUCGGAAUUGCCUCUGAUACUGUUAGGCUAGAGAGUAGUUGCGGUAGGCGGAAUGUAUGGUGUAGCGGUGAAAUGCUUAGAGAUCAUAAAGAACACCGAUUGCGAAGGCAGCUUACCAAGCUGCCUCUGACGUUGAGGCACGAAAGCGUGGGGAGCAAACAGGAUUAGAUACCCUGGUAGUC
rnacentral:rRNA from 1 species